UCUAUUAAAAGAAAAAAGUAGAAAAGCACAAGCAUGCAUCUCUUCAGAACAAGAUGUGGAUCUUAUUAAAAUGACUUUCAAGCUGCAUCUGCCAAAGAAUCAAAAUCCCCAGAUGAGACCGAGUACUCACAUAUAGCACUUUCUGUUCUCUAAAAUUCUCGACACUCCAGGAGAAAAGGAUUGGCCAAACCAAAAGCCCGAAGUGAGCACAUGUGCUCUAUAGCAAAAAUCUCUAAAAAAAAGAAAAGAAGAAGAAAAACCAGAAAGCCGGCUGAUGACCCUGGAGGCUUCUGUGCAGGUGAAAUCAGCUGUGGCAAAGAAGCUGCUGGGACAGAAUCGGAGAGAGGCCAGCAGGGGUAUUGGCUGAUGCCCCAGAUGAUUCCGAGAGCUGUGAAAAGCAGUCGUACAGUGCACGUGGCGUGAGGGACACCAGCGGCUCUCCCCUGGGUGCUGCAGGCGCUUACUUCCUGGGGCCACCUUUCCUCACCUCACUGUCCAACAUGGAAUGCCUUCGUAGCUCAUUCCACACUCACUCUCACUGCCUCUGCCUCCAGAGGUGCUGCUGGCGGAAGGGCAGGGGCCUGGGCUAGGCUUCUCAGCCCCCGCUCCGUCUGGGUGGUGGGGACGCAGCGUGUUGGGGAUCCUCUCCAACCCCCUCAAGGACGUGAAUGGGCGUGAGAGUGCCUCGUCCCGGAGUAAGUGGCCCUGAGGGGGAAAAGGCCACCAAGCGCAGGGCCUGUACUUCGUGUUUAUGCAAGAAACUUAGGUUUAGGUGUGGUUGACAUUCUUGACAGAUGAAACAAAUGUUUAAAGUACAGUGUGACUCUCCUUUGUGGAUUUUGUAUUUGUGAACUCUCCUAUGAACAAAAUGUCCUUGCACCCCCAAAUAAUCCUGGCACUGCCUUGCCUUCCCAGCAUCCCCAGACUGCUGUGCGGGCCCAGCCAGGCCAGCAGACCAGCUCACCCCGUAAACGAGUGUCCCGCUCACAGCAGCCUGGUGCCAGUCUUCUGCAUUUUGGUGCUAAGCAGCCCGCAGGCAUGGCGCCAGAGCGGUGGUGCCCCAAGCAGGGGAGCUGGGACCUGGCUGACGCGGAUCCGCGCAGUAGGUGAGCUUCACGCGAGCACGCAGCCCAGGCGAGGCCGGAACCAACUGCAGUGUGCUAAAGUGGAGGAAGGUGUCUUCAGACACAUGGAAAGCAAGGCUGCGAGGCGCCGGGAACCUCGCCCCACCGCCCCCAGCGGCAAAGGUCAGGCUCGCUAAUCCAGUGUUGGUGGGGGUGCCAAUGUGGGCAGCAGCGGCCAUCCCUUCCCAGCUGGCUGGCAGGAGGUCAGUGAUCUGGGGUUUCCUGCUGUGAUAGCUUCAUCUCUGCGGGAUCCGAUGUGGGUUCCAGAUAACGGCCCCCGCCCCACCCCGGAUUAUUCAGUAAAGUGCACAGAGCCACUGACCCUGCUGGGCACGCAGGAGCGGGCAGCUCCCGAGUCGUCCAGAGCACGCGGACAAGAGCCUGGGUGUUCCAGCUGGGGAAAGACCCAGCACAUUAAAUAAGCCGGGCCAUCCAGCUGCAGGUGUGGCCCUCAGGCGACUUUCUGCACCCAGCUGAUUAACAGAAGCCAAAGUCUCCCAGAACUUGCUGCCGGCAGGUCUGGGAGAUGCUGUCUGUCUGUUUGUUUGUUGUAGACGUUUUGCCUUAGGGCAUGUAUGCUUG